CUUGGGAGGUGAUCCUCCCCCAGAUAGAUCGCAUAAUGCAUUAUGCGAUCUAUCUGGGGGAGGAAGCCCUUCGGUU